UGAUCCACCCGCCUUUGCCUCCCAAAGUGCUGGGAUUACAGGUAUGAGCCAUGGUGCCCAGCCUCAACUGAUUUGUUCUUACAUUAGAAAAUGAGCAGGAGAGCUGAGCCACAAAUCUGUUUCCAUGCUGAUGUUUUCCCAUCCUGAAUAAUCAUCUGCCUGCCUGUGGAAAGGGAAAAUGCAAACGUCUCCAUGCAACUGAACACCCAAGUGUUUGCCAUAGUAUUAGCAAAACACAGCAUGGCCAAACAUGGAAAAUAGCCCCAGAGAAUGCCAUUUUGCUCAAGAAGACCUUGGAGGAAUAUCUGGCCUGUUCAAGCACUUUCCCUACCCUGAAUCUCUUUGGCUAUAAUUUGCCCAUUUUUAAUCAAUCAAUAAUCAUAUUUCUGGGUUCUGGGGCUGAGACAGAGAUCGAAGAAAGUGAAAGGCAUGGUUCAUGCCCUUAUAGAGACUACAUAUAGCUAGACCGAAAACAGUGAGAAGCAAAACUGUGGGUGCUUUGAACUGUACAUGCAGUGGGAAUUAAGGAAUGAUGUAGUCAGGCUGAAGUGACCAGGGACAUUUCCUGGGGACAGGACUUGAAGAUGAGUUGGCUUUAGACUAAUGCUGGGGAGUGGGAACUGACCUGGGCAGCAAAGCAAGGCACAGAGGCAGAGAUGAACUCUGAAUGUUCAGGGCUCACCAGGGAGACUGGCUGGGGGCUUCCAUGGGGAAGGAGAGGGAAGCCUGGUCAGAGAAUAGGACAAGACCAGGGAGAGAAGAUCUUGACAACAGAUGAAGGGCAGAGCGAGGAGUUUGAAUUUGAUGAGGACUGCCAUCUACUGGCAGUUGAUGCAGGCUCUUGGGCAGUAGUGUGGCCUUGGUCCCGCUGAGGUGGGCAGGGGGAGCUAGAGACAAGGAGAAUCUCUAGGAACCCCCAACCCUGAAACAGAAGCCUGAGUUUCAACUGGAGGCGGGAGAGGAGAGUCAGCGAGAACGAAGAUGGACAGACUGCGGAAACAUAAAUGAAGAUGGAGUCUCAAACUAUCACCUGGGCUGGAGUGCGAUGGCAUGAUCUCGGCUCACUGCAACCUCUGCCUCCAGGGUUCAAGCGAUUCUCCUGCCUCAGCCUCCCAAGUAGCUAGGACUACAGCUCCCGCAUACCUCCACCUGCCAUAUUGGCCUGCCAUGGUAGGCCAGGGAGAGAGAAAAAGGAAGAAAAGAGAAGAGAAAAGAAAAAUGUGUUGCCUACUGCCCCUGCCUUUAUUGGGAUGGACAGCUGGAGUAAACAUCAUCCAGAAAGACUGGGACUCUGGGUCCUCUCAAACCCAGCACACCCGCACCACGAAUACCAGCCCCCAGCAAGAAACCUCUAAGCACUUUGUGAGUAUUCAUCGCCUAAACAUAUUUCAUUUCCAGUCUUGCCCAACUGAUCUCAGCCUUAACUGUUUAACUGGGCUGGUCUCUGAGCAGACUCUGUAGCUGCCCUGAAAUCAGGUUACUGGCACAGCCUGUAGAUAUUGACUGAUUCAAAGAUUACAGUUGAGCAAACAGGAGCAUGUUAAUUUUUAAUUUCACUUUGUUGAUAAAUCGGGCUUCCUCUUUGUCCUAUAACCGAUAAUUACCUGGUCAGAAGAAACAUGCGAUACUUGACCUGCAAUGAAAGUCCACUUGUCUGGCCUUCCUGGCCCUAGCUGGGUUUUUCAAAGGAGCUCCCAUACUGGUUUGGCCUCAGUCAGCUGUUAAAGAAUUGAGGGACUUCUGAGUUGCGCAACCCUGAGUCAAUGUGAGACCCAAGCUGAACAGCAUGGGACUCUUAAGAAUUAAAGUGGAGACCUAAGGAAGAUCUUUGAGGUUUGGGAUUUGGGGUAGGAAUGGGGUUUUUUUCUAACAAAGGAGAGACUGUGACAGAGAAAGUGUUUCUUUCAUGGCUUCCAGUUCACACUAAGUCACCCUCAUUCUGGAGCCAAGGUUGUUCUCAAAGGUGACUUUACCACAGUAAAACAUGAGGACAGAAAACAGCAGCCGUGUGUCCGCCUCAUCACACAAGAGCCGUACUGUUUGCUAAGUCUCUUAGUUCACACAACCGUGGUGCCAUCCUGGGAAAUAAUUACCAGUACUCCCAUUGUAUGGAGAAAGAAUUAAUUUGCAGUUUAUAUCUCUAAAGGGUCCAAUUACUUCAUAUAGAGAUCUGUCGCAUUGUUUUUCUCUUCCUUUUUUUUUUUUUUCCCCCUGUUGCUUUUAGGGGCCAAAGCGGUUUCAGUUUGAAACCAUGAUGAAUUUAACAUAAAUCAAGAAAAGCAACAGAAGCAACUUUUCCCAUCUGGAAUGGAGUACAGCCUUCUAUUUUAUGCUAUUUGUCUACCCUGUCACUAACUGCAGAGAAAACGUUCUAAAAACUGCCCUUUGUAGCCUCAAGCCAUUUCC
rnacentral:lncRNA from 1 species